GAUGAACGCUAGCGGCAGGCCUAAUACAUGCAAGUCGAGGGGUAGAAGAGGCUUGCUUCUUUGAGACCGGCGCACGGGUGCGUAACGCGUAUGCAACCUACCUUCAUAUGGGGGAUAGCCCGGAGAAAUCCGGAUUAAUACCGCAUAAAAUCACAGGAUGGCAUUAUCCAAUGAUCAAACAUUUAUGGGAUGAGGAUGGGCAUGCGUGUCAUUAGCUAGUUGGCGGGGUAACGGCCCACCAAGGCGACGAUGACUAGGGGAUCUGAGAGGAUGGCCCCCCACACUGGUACUGAGACACGGACCAGACUCCUACGGGAGGCAGCAGUGAGGAAUAUUGGGCAAUGGAGGCAACUCUGAACCAGCCAUGCCGCGUGCAGGAAGACUGCCCUAUGGGUUGUAAACUGCUUUUAUUCGGGAAUAAACCUUAUUACGUGUAAUAAGCUGAAUGUACCGAAGGAAUAAGGAUCGGCUAACUCCGUGCCAGCCGCCGCCGUAA
rnacentral:rRNA from 1 species